rnacentral:rRNA from 1 species
UACAGAGGUCCCAAGCGUUGUUCGGAUUCAUUGGGCGUAAAGGGUGCGUAGGCGGCGCGGUAAGUCGGGUGUGAAAUCUCGGAGCUUAACUCCGAAACUGCAUUCGAUACUGCCGUGCUUGAGGACUGGAGAGGAGACUGGAAUUUACGGUGUAGCGGUGAAAUGCGUAGAUAUCAGGAGGAACACCGAUGGCGAAGGCAGGUCACUGGGCCGCAACUGACGCUGAGGAGCGAAAGCAUGGGGAGCGAACAGG